UUGGUGCAGUUUGUAUAAUACUACGAGCUGCUUUUCCUAAACCUGUUUCGGAACUAUGAACGGAACGAUCGGGAAGAUCCGGCAAAUCAUACGACGUUUGGGAACUUGUUACCGGUCGUAGUUGUUAUCGUGAUGUGUUUGCUGCUAGAGAAGCCGGUAUUCCCGCAACUCGCUAACUGAUCGAACCUUCGGAAUAACAAAAACAAACGGUACGGAGGAGCUUGCUUUGUAUUACGAAAACGAUUAAAGUAACCGACACUUCCUUAAAAAACAAUUGCUAACAGAAUUCCUGAUUUUAUUCGGAUUACGCAACAUGGCACGAUGAAAAUGGAACUGGUUGCUGCUCGGUGCUACAUAGACUUGCGGCUACAAGUUCUUCUUGGUUUGAACACUGUGCUAACUCCAACUAAAGCACCAAACGGAUUGAAAUCAGCAAUAGAAAUUUAAUUAGAUC